rnacentral:rRNA from 1 species
AACGAACGCUGGCGGCAUGCCUAACACAUGCAAGUCGAACGAGACCUUCGGGUCUAGUGGCGCACGGGUGCGUAACGCGUGGGAACCUGCCCUUAGGUUCGGAAUAACUCCCCGAAAGGGGUGCUAAUACCGGAUAAUGUCUUCGGACCAAAGAUUUAUCGCCUUUGGAUGGGCCCGCGUUGGAUUAGCUAGUUGGUAGGGUAAAAGCCUACCAAGGCGACGAUCCAUAGCUGGUCUGAGAGGAUGAUCAGCCACACUGGGACUGAGACACGGCCCAGACUCCUACGGGAGGCAGCAGUGGGGAAUAUUGGACAAUGGGCGAAAGCCUGAUCCAGCAAUGCCGCGUGAGUGAUGAAGGCCUUAGGGUGGUAAAGCUCUUUUACCCGGGAUGAUAAUGACAGUACCGGGAGAAGAAGCUCCGGCUAACUCCGU